rnacentral:misc_RNA from 1 species
GAACAGGCCAAGAUGCUCCUAUUCCUGCCAAACAAAAAGUACACAAUGUUAAAUGGGAGAAAUUGACUUUCAUUUGAAAGAAAUAGUGCUAGAAAAUAUAGUCCAUCAUCUCCAUGCAUCAUUUAACACCAUACCAUAUUCAUUUAGAGAACAUGAGAUUCUCAUCCUUACUCUCUUCAUAUGCAGGUCCAAUAGAAACUAAAGGAAAACUGAUGAAGAGAUGAGUAUAACGAAUGGGACUGAUGCAUAGGAUUUAUAAACUAGUUAUUCUUAUCAUGUUAGAGCAUCAAAUCUAAAAGCUCAAACUAUGAUUGAAAAGCUCCAAAUGUUACAUUAAUCCAUAUCAUAUUUCAUGCACAAUUGACUUGUAUUCGUACUCUGCAUAACCAAGGAAUCAUUGAUAUGUACUGCAGAGUUAUUGUUUUACAUUUACGAAAACAUGAAAUGCAUAGAUAGGUCAAAAUUCAUCAGCAUAUCAUGCAUUAUAAUUUUCUAACCAUAAGUGAAAUGAUAGAAGGUUGUUAUUGCAUGACCAUAUUAGGCAAAUGCAAAUCCAUUUCUUAUUUUUAUCAUUCUGAAAUCAAUUUACCACCAAAUAUGCUUAAACAUAAUUUCUCACUAGUGUUCAAGGCUAGGACUGCCAACCCACAUCGAAGCUUGACCCAGAAACAAGGA